UACAGAGGGGGCAAGCGUUGUUCGGAAUUACUGGGCGUAAAGGGCGCGUAGGCGGCCUGCUAAGUCGAACGUGAAAUCCCCGGGCUCAACCCGGGAACUGCGUCCGAUACUGGCAGGCUUGAAUCCGGGAGAGGGAUGUGGAAUUCCAGGUGUAGCGGUGAAAUGCGUAGAUAUCUGGAGGAACACCGGUGGCGAAGGCGGCAUCCUGGACCGGUAUUGACGCUGAGGCGCGAAAGCGUGGGGAGCGAACCGG
rnacentral:rRNA from 1 species